rnacentral:lncRNA from 1 species
UAGCCAAGAGGCACUAUAAUGAGCUCAAAGAUGCUACUGAUCGAAUGCAACUGAGCUGGCCUUGCUAGUGGCCGAGAAUGACUAGCUGGCCCUGCCAGUGGCCGAAUGGACUUCGCAGUAGCAUCCGAGAGAAUGGACCACGGCAUGCCGGGGGCACGGUUUCAUAUGCAUACUUUAUGAAAAUGAUAUUUGAAGCAUGAUCAUGAGGCUCAUUUCAGAGCCUGGGUAUAUGAGGCGGGUGUUUCCAAAUCCUGCAGAUGCAUUUUUGGGGAGAAGCAAAAUCGGUGAGGGGUGAAGGACGCUUGCGUGAAGCCCCGGAACCGGCCAACGUCUGGCAGGGGAGCCCCGUGUUUUUUCCCUCAUGUGGGCCCGAUAGUCACGUGCCCUGCGCAGGCGGACCGUGACAUUUAUGAACGUGCCUGGCCAAAGCAUACAUUGUUUUACAACGGGUUUUUGAAUAUAUCCUUAUGAAAUGUUGUAUUUUGCUAUAACCGCUAUCUCCUUUAAAUGAUGCUAAUCGCAUGAAUUCUUAUGUUUUAUGAAAAUUCUGUUUGACUGAAAAUACUGUUUUGUUUUCCAAGCAUACAUAUUUUGCC